GACGAACCGUGCGAACGUUAUUCGGAAUCACUGGGCUUAAAGCGCGUGUAGGCGGGCAGGCACGUCGGUCGCUGAAAUCCCCCGGCUCAACCGGGGAAGUGGCGCCGAUACGACCUUCCUGGAGGGACGUAGGGGGACCUGGAACUUCCGGUGGAGCGGUGAAAUGCGUUGAGAUCGGAAGGAACGCCCGUGGCGAAAGCGAGGUCCUGGACGUUUUCUGACGCUGAGACGCGAAAGCCAGGGGAGCAAACGGG
rnacentral:rRNA from 1 species